GAUGAACGCUAGCGAUAGGCUUAACACAUGCAAGUCGAGGGGCAGCACAAGGUAGCUUGCUAUCUGGGUGGCGACCGGCGCACGGGUGCGUAACGCGUAUGCAACUUGCCCUAUACAGGAGGAUAACCCGUCGAAAGACGGACUAAUACUGCGUAUGCUCACAACUUGGCAUCAAGUGGUGAGGAAAGAAAUUCGGUAUAGGAUAGGCAUGCGUCCCAUUAGCUUGUUGGUGAGGUAACGGCUCACCAAGGCAACGAUGGGUAGGGGAACUGAGAGGUUUAUCCCCCACACUGGUACUGAGACACGGACCAGACUCCUACGGGAGGCAGCAGUGAGGAAGAUUGGUCAAUGGGCGCGAGCCUGAACCAGCCAAGUCGCGUGAAGGAUGACUGUCCUAUGGAUUGUAAACUUCUUUUAUACGGGAAUAACAAGAGUCACGUGUGACUCCCUGCAUGUACCGUAUGAAUAAGCAUCGGCUAACUCCGUG
rnacentral:rRNA from 1 species